UUUCGAGGGAUUCCCUAGUACGGCGAGUGAAGCGGGAAGAGCUCAAAUUUGAAAUCUGGUGGCCUCAGGUCAUCCGAGUUGUAAUCUAUAGAAGUGUUUUCCGUGCUGGCUCAUGUACAAGUCCCUUGGAACAGGGCGUCAUAGAGGGUGAGAAUCCCGUCCUUGACAUGAACUACCAGUGCUCUGUGAUACAUUUUCAACGAGUCGAGUUGUUUGGGAAUGCAGCUCAAAAUGGGUGGUAAAUUCCAUCUAAAGCUAAAUAUUGGCGAGAGACCGAUAGCGAACAAGUACCGUGAGGGAAAGAUGAAAAGCACUUUGGAAAGAGAGUUAAACAGUAUGUGAAAUUGUUGAAAGGGAAACGAUUGAAGUCAGUCGUGCUCUUUGGAUUCAGCCGGUUCUGCCGGUGUACUUCCUUUGAGUGGGGUCAACAUCAGUUUUGAUCGCUGGAUAAAGGCUGGAGGAACGUAGUACCCUCGGGUAAACUUAUAGCCUCCUGUCACAUACAGUGGUUGGGACUGAGGAACGCAGCACGCCUUUAUGGCCGGGAUUCGUCCACGUACGUGCUUAGGAUGUUGACAUAAUGGCUUUAAACGACCCGUCUGA
rnacentral:rRNA from 1 species